rnacentral:rRNA from 1 species
AGUGAACGCUGGCGGUAGGCCUAACACAUGCAAGUCGAACGGCAGCACAGUCAGAGCUUGCUCUUACGGGUGGCGAGUGGCGGACAGGUGAGGAAUACAUCGGAAUCUACUUUUUCGUGGGGGAUAAAGUAGGGAAAAUUACGCUAAUACCGCAUACGACCUAAGGGUGAAAGCAGGGGAUCUUCGGACCUUGCGCGAUCGAAUGAGCCGAUGUCGGAUUAGCUAGUUGGCGGGGUAAAGGCCCACCAAGGCGACGAUCCGUAGCUGGUCUGAGAGGAUGAUCAGCCACACUGGAACUGAGACACGGUCCAGACUCCUACGGGAGGCAGCAGUGGGGAAUUUUGGACAAUGGGCGCAAGCCUGAUCCAGCCAUACCGCGUGGGUGAAGAAGGCCUUCGGGUUAUAAAGCCCUUUUGUUGGGAAAGAAAAGCGGCAGGUUAAUACCCCGCUGUUCUGACGGUACCCAAAGAAUAAGCACCGGCUAACUUCGUG